GACAGAGGGUGCAAACGUUUGUUCGGAUUUACUGGGCGUAAAGCGCGUGUAGGCGGCUUGGCAAGUCGGAUGUGAAAGCCCACGGCUCAACCGUGGAAGCGCAUCCGAAACUGCUUCGCUCGAGUCUCGGAGAGGAAGGUGGAAUGCUUGGUGUAGAGGUGAAAUUCGUAGAUAUCAAGCAGAACACCUGCGGCGAAGGCGGCCUUCUGGACGAUGACUGACGCUGAGACGCGAAAGCGUGGGAGCAAACAGG
rnacentral:rRNA from 1 species